UCAAGUGAAGAAGCGCAUACGGUGGAUGCCUUGGCAGUCAGAGGCGAUGAAAGACGUUGUAGCCUGCGAUAAGCUUUGGGGAGUCGGCAAACAGACUUUGAUCCAGAGAUCUCUGAAUGGGGAAACCCACCCGAUGUAAGUCGGGUAUCUUAUGCUCAAUACAUAGGCAUAAGAGGCGAACGCGGGGAACUGAAACAUCUAAGUACCCGUAGGAAAAGAAAUCAACCGAGAUUCCCUUAGUAGUGGCGAGCGAACGGGGACUAGCCCUUAAGUGGCUUAGAGAUUAGUGGAAGGCUCUGGAAAGUGCCGCCGUAGUGGGUGAUAGCCCUGUACACGAAAAUCUCUUUGUCAUGAAAUCGAGUAGGACGGAGCACGAGAAACUUUGUCUGAAUAUGGGGGGACCAUCCUCCAAGGCUAAAUACUACUGACUGACCGAUAGUGAACUAGUACCGUGAGGGAAAGGCGAAAAGAACCCCGGAGAGGGGAGUGAAAUAGAACCUGAAACCGUAUGCGUACAAGCAGUGGGAGCCUACUUUGUUAGGUGACUGCGUACCUUUUGUAUAAUGGGUCAGCGACUUAUUUUCAGUGGCAAGCUUAACCGAAUAGGGGAGGCGUAGCGAAAGCGAGUCUUAAUAGGGCGACAGUCGCUGGGAAUAGACCCGAAACCGGGCGAUCUAUCCAUGGGCAGGUUGAAGGUUGGGUAACACUAACUGGAGGACCGAACCGACUAUCGUUGAAAAGCUAGCGGAUGACCUGUGGAUCGGAGUGAAAGGCUAAUCAAGCCCGGAGAUAGCUGGUUCUCCUCGAAAGCUAUUUAGGUAGCGCCUCGUGUAUCACUGCUGGGGGUAGAGCACUGUUUUGGCUAGGGGGUCAUCCCGACUUACCAACCCAAUGCAAACUCCGAAUACCAGCAAGUGCAAGCACGGGAGACACACGGCGGGUGCUAACGUCCGUCGUGGAAAGGGAAACAACCCAGACCGUCAGCUAAGGUCCCAAAGUUAUGGUUAAGUGGGAAACGAUGUGGGAAGGCUUAGACAGCUAGGAGGUUGGCUUAGAAGCAGCCACCCUUUAAAGAAAGCGUAAUAGCUCACUAGUCGAGUCGGCCUGCGCGGAAGAUGUAACGGGGCUCAAACCAUACACCGAAGCUACGGACAUGCUCUUUGAGCAUGUGGUAGAGGAGCGUUCUGUAAGCCGUUGAAGGUGAGUUGAGAAGCUUGCUGGAGGUAUCAGAAGUGCGAAUGCUGACAUGAGUAACGAUAAUGAGUGUGAAAAACACUCACGCCGAAAGACCAAGGUUUCCUGCGCAACGUUAAUCGACGCAGGGUGAGUCGGCUCCUAAGGCGAGACUGAAAAGUGUAGUCGAUGGGAAACAGGUUAAUAUUCCUGUACUUCUAAUUAUUGCGAUGGAGAGACGGAGAAGGCUAGGCCAUCAGGGCGUUGGUUGUCCCUGUUUAAGGUGGUAGGCAGAGAUCUUAGGUAAAUCCGGGAUCUUGUUAAUGCCGAGAGCUGAUGACGAGCGUUCUUUAGAAUGCGAAGUGGUUGAUGCCAUGCUUCCAAGAAAAUCUUCUAAGCUUCAGAUAAUUAGGAACCGUACCCCAAACCGACACAGGUGGUUGGGUAGAGAAUACCAAGGCGCUUGAGAGAACUCGGGUGAAGGAACUAGGCAAAAUGGCACCGUAACUUCGGGAGAAGGUGCGCUGGUGAGGGUGAAGUAUUUACUACGUAAGCCUUUGCUAGUCGAAGAUACCAGGCCGCUGCGACUGUUUAUUAAAAACACAGGACUCUGCAAACACGAAAGUGGACGUAUAGGGUCUGACGCCUGCCCGGUGCCGGAAGGUUAAUUGAUGGGGUUAGCGCAAGCGAAGCUCUUGAUCGAAGCCCCGGUAAACGGCGGCCGUAACUAUAACGGUCCUAAGGUAGCGAAAUUCCUUGUCGGGUAAGUUCCGACCUGCACGAAUGGCGUAACGAUGGCGGCGCUGUCUCCACCCGAGACUCAGUGAAAUUGAAAUCGCUGUGAAGAUGCAGUGUAUCCGCGGCAAGACGGAAAGACCCCGUGAACCUUUACUAUAGCUUUGCACUGGACUUUGAAGUUGUUUGUGUAGGAUAGGUGGGAGGCUUUGAAACUGUGACGCUAGUUGCAGUGGAGCCAACCUUGAAAUACCACCCUGGCAACUUUGAGGUUCUAACUCUGGUCCGUUAUCCGGAUCGAGGACAGUGUAUGGUGGGUAGUUUGACUGGGGCGGUCUCCUCCUAAAGAGUAACGGAGGAGUACGAAGGUGCGCUCAGACCGGUCGGAAAUCGGUCGUAGAGUAUAAAGGCAAAAGCGCGCUUAACUGCGAGACCAACAAGUCGAGCAGGUACGAAAGUAGGUCUUAGUGAUCCGGUGGUUCUGUAUGGAAGGGCCAUCGCUCAACGGAUAAAAGGUACUCCGGGGAUAACAGGCUGAUACCGCCCAAGAGUUCAUAUCGACGGCGGUGUUUGGCACCUCGAUGUCGGCUCAUCACAUCCUGGGGCUGAAGCCGGUCCCAAGGGUAUGGCUGUUCGCCAUUUAAAGUGGUACGCGAGCUGGGUUUAGAACGUCGUGAGACAGUUCGGUCCCUAUCUGUCGUGGACGUUUGAGAUUUGAGAGGGGCUGCUCCUAGUACGAGAGGACCGGAGUGGACGAACCUCUGGUGUUCCGGUUGUCACGCCAGUGGCAUUGCCGGGUAGCUAUGUUCGGAAGAGAUAACCGCUGAAAGCAUCUAAGCGGGAAACUUGCCUCAAGAUGAGAUCUCACUGGAGCUUUAAGCUUCCUGAAGGGCCCUUGAAGACUACAAGGUUGAUAGGUUGGGUGUGUAAGUGCUGUGAGGCAUUGAGCUAACCAAUACUAAUUGCCCGUGAGGCUUGACCAU
rnacentral:rRNA from 1 species